GACGAACCGUGCGAACGUUGUUCGGAAUCACUGGGCUUAAAGGGCGCGUAGGCGGCAUUUCAAGUCCGGGGUGAAAUCCCGGAGCUCAACUCCGGAACUGCCUUUGAUACUGAGGACCUUGAGUCCGGAAGAGGCGAGUGGAACUCCUGGUGUAGCGGUGGAAUGCGCAGAUAGUCAGGAAGAACACCGACGGCGAAGGCAGCUCGCUGGGACGGUACUGACGCUGAGGCGCGAAAGCGUGGGGAGCGAACAGG
rnacentral:rRNA from 1 species